GGGCUGGGGCUCAGUGGUAGAGCGCUUGCCUAGCAUGUAUGAGGCACUGGGUUUGAUCCUCAGCACCACA
rnacentral:tRNA from 1 species